rnacentral:rRNA from 1 species
CAGUUGGAAACGACUGCUAAUAACCGCAUAAGCCCACGGGUCGGGCAUCGACCAGAGGGAAAAGGAGCAAUCCGCUUUGAGAUGGUCUCGCGUCCGAUUAGCUAGUUGGUGAGGUAAUGGCCCACCAAGGCGACGAUCGGUAGCCGGACUGAGAGGUUGAACGGCCACAUUGGGACUGAGACACGGCCCAGACUCCUACGGGAGGCAGCAUG